AGCCGAGGGAGCAAGGGAGCCGAAUUCGAGGGCAGGAGAGACCACCAGGCUCCUUUCCUGCCUCCAGGCUGGAUUCUCUCGCUCUUGCCUGAGCCAGCAUCAGUUGGAGGAUGGAAUGGGGAGAGACAACCGCUUCCUGCCCUGGGUGACCAUGCGGUGCCGGCAUUCACUCACCUGGCAGGCAUCCGCCCCUUCCGUGCCGCUGGCACACACCAUGUUGUCCGUGAUUCUCCCGGGGAACACAGCCCGGCAGGUGGCACUGGAAACGAUGGAGACAUUGAGGCAUUGCAGCAGAUGCUGUGACCUUUGACCUUCAAUCUUAUUAUACUUAGGUCCCAACUUGACCUCCUGUUCUCUCUCUGUCUCCAGACCCCACACUCCUCGUCUUCUCUUAAACUUCUAAACUCAGCGAUAAACCAUUGGUGC